GGGAGGGUAACCGAGGAAAGUUAGAUUGGAGGUCAGGGAGGCAACGGAGGGAAAAGGCGGGCUGAUUGUAGCAGAGUAGGUGGUCUCACGGUAUCAUAGCUCAAAACAAGCAACGCCAUUGGCUCGCAGCCUCGGUUUGUCCCCAGGUCUCUGCACUGGAUUGGGAUUGAGAACCACUUGUGCCCUAACUUGAGAGAGGAAAAGAGGAAACCAAAAUACAGUUGGAUUCGGAGGGAAGACAAACAGACCAAAGAACUACAGACUCUUCACAACCUGCUCAAACUCUUGGUACAGGACCUCACCACAUGGGUCAAGAAGGUUUCCUUCUCCUCAUUUCUACUCUGAAGCUCACCUUCUCCUGCUCAAACUGCUG